rnacentral:lncRNA from 1 species
UACAUUUUGACAAGUUCCUAUGGAGUAAAACUAGCCUCAAUUCAGAAAUACACUUUAUCUCUGAGAAUGGGUGUCUAUGAUCCUCAGACAGGUUGAAGGGGAAAUAUGAGGGAAGGGAAAUUUUCCUAGAGGCCCUCACACAAUCAUCUCUUCCAUCAUGGUCUUUCUCUUUCCUGUGCUCUGAAUAGUCUGUUCUUCUUGUAUCGAGGGCAGAUGACGUAUUUAUAACAUUUCUGGCAGCUGGAAAGCUACGGAGGGAGGGUAAAGAAAGAGGAGUUGUGAGACGCAAAAGAUAUCAUUGCCUUAAAUGCUACAGCUAAAGCUGUUGAAUGGCUUAGCUCCCCCUACAGGAUGCCAUGUAACAUAGCAGCACACACUUAGAAGGUACCAUUUUGUUAAUCUCCUGGCCCUUCAGUUUCAUCCUGUC